rnacentral:rRNA from 1 species
GACGAACGCUGGCGGCGUGCUUAACACAUGCAAGUCGAACGGUGAAGCGCCUUCCUUUUUGGUGGGUGUGGAUGAGUGGCGAACGGGUGAGUAACACGAGAGUAACCUGCCCCCUUCUUCUGGAUAACCGCAUGAAAGUGUGGCUAAUACGGGAUAUUCUGGGUCUGUCGCAUGAUGGGUCUGUGAAAGAUAUUGUUUCGGUGGUGGAUGGGCUCGCGGCCUCUCAGCUGGUUGGUGGGGUGAUGGCCUACCAAGGCGUGGGCGGGUAGCCGGCCUGAGAGAGUGGACAGUCGGACUGGGAGACAGGCACCGGACAGACUCGGAAGGGAGGCAGCGGGAGGAAAGAUUGAAGGGUGGGCGCAAGACUGAUGAAGCGACGCCGCGUGAGGGAGGGAGGCCGUCGGGUAGUGAACCUCUUUCGCCAGGGAAGCAGGCCUGCCUCGUUUGUGGGUGGGUGGACGGAAGCUGGAUAAGAAGCGCCGGCAAACUAGUU